rnacentral:rRNA from 1 species
UACGUAGGGUGCGAGCGUUAAUCGGAAUUACUGGGCGUAAAGCGUGCGCAGGCGGUUCGUUGUGUCGGCGGUGAAAGCCCCGGGCUCAACCCUGGGAAUGGCCGUUGAAACUGGCGAACUGGAGUGUGGCAGAGGGGGGUGGAAUUCCGCGUGGUAGCAGUGAAAUGCGUAGAGAUGCGGAGGAACACCGAUGGCGAAGGCAGCCCCCUGGGCUGACACUGACGCCUCAGGCACGAAAGCGUGGGGAGCAAACAGG